UGCUCCUGGUGGCGAGUGGCGAACGGGUGAGUAAUGCGUCGGAACGUACCGAGUAAUGGGGGAUAACGCAGCGAAAGUUGUGCUAAUACCGCAUACGCCCUGAGGGGGAAAGUGGGGGAUCGUAAGACCUCACGUUAUUCGAGCGGCCGACGUCUGAUUAGCUAGUUGGUGGGGUAAUGGCUCACCAAGGCGACGAUCAGUAGCGGGUCUGAGAGGAUGAUCCGCCACACUGGGACUGAGACACGGCCCAGACUCCUACGGGAGGCAGCAGUGGGGAAUUUUGGACAAUGGGGGCAACCCUGAUCCAGCCAUUCCGCGUGAGUGAAGAAGGCCUUCGGGUUGUAAAGCUCUUUCAGCUGGAACGAAACGGUACGCUCUAACAUAGCGUGCUAAUGACGGUACCAGCAGAAGAAGCACCGGCUAACUACGUGCCAGCAGCCGCGGUAAUACGUAGGGUGCGAGCGUUAAUCGGAAUUACUGGGCGUAAAGCGUGCGCAGACGGAUUGUUAAGCAAGAUGUGAAAUCCCCGGGCUUAACCUGGGAAUGGCAUUUUGAACUGGCAGUCUAGAGUGUGUCAGAGGGGGGUGGAAUUCCACGUGUAGCAGUGAAAUGCGUAGAG
rnacentral:rRNA from 1 species